UACGAAGGGUGCAAGCGUUACUCGGAAUUACUGGGCGUAAAGCGUGCGUAGGUGGUGCGUUAAGUCUGUCGUGAAAGCCCCGGGCUCAACCUGGGAAUGGCGAUGGAUACUGGCGCGCUAGAGUGCGGUAGAGGAGAGUGGAAUUCCCGGUGUAGCAGUGAAAUGCGUAGAGAUCGGGAGGAACAUCAGUUGCGAAGGCGGCUCUCUGGACCAGCACUGACACUGAGGCACGAAAAGCGUGGGGAGCAAACAGG
rnacentral:rRNA from 1 species